CAAAACCAAAAACAAACAAACAGACAUACAUGCAUACAAGUAUGUGUUUCCUAUGUACUCACUGGAACAUGGUCAACUUCCCAAUGGCUAGCCCCUUAAACAAAGUCUUUCCCAUUCAUACCCUGCUGGAAGCCAACAAUUGUAAAGAGCUACAUUUUAGCAUCCUUAUAAUAAGUUUUAAGAGUUCUCUUUGGUGGAUUUUUGUCUUGGCUGUUACUUUUGUAGGGGAUAAGUAGGGUAGUAAGAAGUAGGAUUUGUCAUAGAAGUUUUCUAUAUCCCUUUUUCUCAACUCUUUGAUCAUCAAUACCUUAGCAAACAUAGCUUCCUUGUUCUUUACAGAGAUCCAGAGGGUGGAUCUUAUGCAUCCCCAUGGUCUCUGGCAUUAGCAUGUGCCAAAGUCCUUACCAUGAUCUUCAAUGGCCAUGAGCAUCAAUACAGUCCUCUGAGGCUGCACAGGCUGUGGACUCAGGUGGCAGCACAGGACACUCACAUGAAUGAAUGUAGCCUCUGAAAGCAGCAGAGCCCAUGGACACAAACAUGAUCAAUAGUCAGCACCUCAGCCCAAGAAUGUUCACAUUGACCCUUAGUGAUAACAUGAGUCAUAGCUAUUGACACAGAUCUAGACUUCAGUAGGACCAUGUAGCUCCAACUUUUAAUUUGAUUGUUUUUUUUUCUCUUGGUGAUAUUUUGUUUUCGUUUUUCAUUCCUUUAUAUUGUAGACUCCAAUGACCUACUGAUCUGUAAGCUCCAAGCAGAGACAGAUAUCCAGAGCUUUGAAGAAGGACUCUCUGGUCUCCACAGCGAGGCGAGGAACCUGAUGGAGAACUCAAAUUUAGACUCUCUGUUUAUAAUGCCUUCAGGAUUCUGCACUUCUCCCCCUUGCUGCAUGAGGAAGCCUCUCUAACGAUGUCUGGACAUUGCACCAUUUUG
rnacentral:sRNA from 1 species